rnacentral:rRNA from 1 species
UACGUAGGUGACCAGCGUUGUCCGGAUUUACUGGGCGUAAAGAGCGCGCAGGCGGUCGUUCAAGUCGAGUGUGAAAGCCCCCGGCUCAACUGGGGAGGGUCACUCGAUACUGAUCGACUUGAAGGCAGGAGAGGGAAGCGGAAUUCCCGGUGUAGUGGUGAAAUGCGUAGAGAUCGGGAGGAACACCAGUGGCGAAGGCGGCCUUCUGGACCAAUACUGACGCUCAUGCACGAAAGCGUGGGGAGCAAACAGG